rnacentral:rRNA from 1 species
CCUACGGGUGGCAGCAGUGGGGAAUAUUGGACAAUGGGCGAAAGCCUGAUCCAGCCAUGCCGCGUGUGUGAAGAAGGCCUUCGGGUUGUAAAGCACUUUCAGUGGGGAAGAAAGCCUUGGGGCUAAUACCCUCGAGGAAGGACAUCACCCACAGAAGAAGCACCGGCUAACUCCGUGCCAGCAGCCGCGGUAAUACGGAGGGUGCGAGCGUUAAUCGGAAUUACUGGGCGUAAAGCGCGCGUAGGCGGUCUGAUAAGCCGGUUGUGAAAGCCCCGGGCUCAACCUGGGAACGGCAUCCGGAACUGUCAGGCUAGAGUGCAGGAGAGGAAGGUAGAAUUCCCGGUGUAGCGGUGAAAUGCGUAGAGAUCGGGAGGAAUACCAGUGGCGAAGGCGGCCUUCUGGACUGACACUGACGCUGAAGUGCGAAAGCGUGGGUAGCAAACAGGAUUAGAUACCCUAGUAGUC